rnacentral:rRNA from 1 species
GACGUAGGGCGCGAGCGUUGUCCGGAUUUAUUGGGCGUAAAGAGCUCGUAGGCGGCUUGUCGCGUCGACUGUGAAAACCCGCGGCUCAACCGUGUGGUCUGCAGUCGAUACGGGCAGGCUAGAGUUCGGUAGGGGAGACUGGAAUUCCUGGUGUAGCGGUGAAAUGCGCAGAUAUCAGGAAGAACACCUAUGGCGAAGGCAGCUCUCUGGGACGGUACUGACGCUGAGACGCGAAAGCGUGGGGAGCGAACAGG